rnacentral:rRNA from 1 species
GAUGAACGCUAGCGGCAGGCCUAACACAUGCAAGUCGAGGGAGAAGCCCUUCGGGGCAGAAACCGGCGCACGGGUGCGUAACGCGUAUGCAACCUACCUUUCACAGGGGGAUAGCCCGAAGAAAUUUGGAUUAAUACCCCAUAAUAUUAUUGGAUGGCAUCCUUUGAUAAUUAAAAUUACGAUGGUGAAAGAUGGGCAUGCGUCCUAUUAGCUAGUUGGAGUGGUAACGGCACCCCAAGGCUACGAUAGGUAGGGGUCCUGAGAGGGAGAUCCCCCACACUGGUACUGAGACAGGGACCAGACUCCUACGGGAGGCAGCAGUGAGGAAUAUUGGUCAAUGGUCGGAAGACUGAACCAGCCAUGCCGCGUGCAGGAAGAAUGCCUUAUGGGUUGUAAACUGCUUUUAUAUGGGAAGAAUAAGGAGUACGUGUACUUUG